UGGGGAAUAUUGCACAAUGGUCGCAAGCCUGAUGCAGCCAUGCCGCGUGUAUGAAGAAGGCCUUCGGGUUGUAAAGUACUUUCAGUCGGGAGGAAGGUGGUAAGGUUAAUAACCUUAUCAAUUGACGUUACCGACAGAAGAAGCACCGGCUAACUCCGUGCCAGCAGCCGCGGUAAUACGGAGGGUGCAAGCGUUAAUCGGAAUUACUGGGCGUAAAGCGCACGCAGGCGGUUGAUUGAGUCAGAUGUGAAAACCCCGGGCUUAACCCGGGAAUUGCAUCUGAUACUGGUCAGCUAGAGUCUUGUAGAGGGGGGUAGAAUUCCAUGUGUAGCGGUGAAAUGCGUAGGGAUGUGGAGGAAUACCGGUGGCGAAGGCGGCCCCCUGGACAAAGACUGACGCUCAGGUGCGAAAGCGUGGGGAGCAAACAGG
rnacentral:rRNA from 1 species